rnacentral:rRNA from 1 species
AAACCAGCACCUCAAGUGGUCAGGAUGAUUAUUGGGCCUAAAGCAUCCGUAGCCGGCUCUGUAAGUUUUCGGUUAAAUCUGUACGCUUAACGUACAGGCUGCCGGGAAUACUGCAGAGCUAGGGAGUGGGAGAGGUAGACGGUACUCGGGAGGAAGUGGUAAAAUGCUUUGAUCUCUCGAUGACCACCUGUGGCGAAGGCGGUCUACCAGAACACGUCCGACGGUGAGGGGUGAAAGCUGGGGGAGCAAACCGGAUUAGAAACCCGAGUAGUCC